rnacentral:rRNA from 1 species
GACGAACGCUGGCGGCGUGCUUAACACAUGCAAGUCGAACGGAAAGGCCCUGCUUUUGUUGGGUGCUCGAGUGGCGAACGGGUGAGUAACACGUGAGUAAACUGCCCUUGACUUUGGGAUAACUUCAGAAAACUGGGGCUAAUACCGGAUAGGAGCUCCUGCUGCAUGGUGGGGGGUGGAAAGUUUCGGCGGUUGGGGAUGGACUCGCGGCUUAUCAGCUUGUUGGUGGGGUAGUGGCUUACCAAGGCUUUGACGGGUAGCCGGCGUGAGAGGGUGACCGGCCACAUUGGGACUGAGAUACGGCCCAGACUCGUACGGGAGGCAGCAGUGGGGAAUAUUGCACAAUGGGCGGAAGCCGGAUGCAGCAACGCCGCGUGCGGGAUGACGGCCUUCGGGUUGUAAACCGCUUUCGCCUGUGACGAAGCGUGAGUGACGGUAAUGGGUAAAGAAGCACCGGCUAACUACGUG